CUGAGACACGGCCCAGACUCCUACGGGAGGCAGCAGUGGGGAAUUUUCCGCAAUGGGCGAAAGCCUGACGGAGCAAUGCCGCGUGGAGGUGGAAGGCCUACGGGUCGUCAACUUCUUUUCUCGGAGAAGAAACAAUGACGGUAGCUGAGGAAUAAGCAUCGGCUAACUCUGUGCCAGCAGCCGCGGUAAGACAGAGGAUGCAAGCGUUAUCCGGAAUGAUUGGGCGUAAAGCGUCUGUAGGUGGCUUUUCAAGUCCGCCGUCAAAUCCCAGGGCUCA
rnacentral:ncRNA from 1 species